rnacentral:rRNA from 1 species
AGCCCAACAGCUAGCUGAUAUCCUAAAAACAACAAAUCAAACAUUAAUAACCCAGAACAAAGACACAAAACCAAAACAAACCAUUUUUCCAUCCUAGUACGGGAGACAGAAAAGAAUAAAAUAAGCAAUAGAAAAAGUACCGCAAGGGAAAGCUGAAAGAGAAAUGAAACAACCAAGUAAAGCAAAACAAAGCAGAGACUAGCCCUCGUACCUUUUGCAUCAUGAUUUAGCAAGUAAACCCAAGCAAAGAGCCCUUUAGUUUGCCGCCCCGAAACUAAGUGAGCUACUCCAAGACAGCCAAAAAAUAUGGGCGAACCCGUCUCUGUGGCAAAAGAGUGGGAAGAGCUUUGAGUAGAGGUGACAAACCUACCGAACCUAGUUAUAGCUGGUUGCCAGGGAACCGAAUAGGAGUUCGACCUUUUAUUCUUCUUAACCCACCAACGAAUUUCAAAACCACCGACAAAAGAAGACAAAAGAGCUAGUCAAAGAGGGUACAGCCCCUUUGAAAAAAGACACAACUUUAACAGAAGGCUAAAGAUCAUAAACACCAAGGAAAAAUGUUUCAGUGGGCCUAAAAGCAGCCACCUGUGCAGAAAGCGUUACAGCUCAAACAAGACCUAACCCUUUAUACCGAAAAAGAAUCUUACGCCACUAAAACAACCAGGCCACCCCAUGCACCCCAUUGGGGAGAUCAUGCUAAUAUGAGUAAUAAGAGGGAAUAGAUUAUGCCCCUCUCCUAAUGCAAGUGUACAUCGGAACGAACAAACACCGAAAACUAACGAGCCCAAUAAAAGAGGGCAUUGGACAACCAACAAAAAACACGAGAAAUGAGUCCUAAAAUAAGCCGUUAACCCCACACUGGCGCAUAUAUCAAGGAAAGACUAAAAGAAAAAGAAGGAACUCGGCA